GGGAAGCAAUUCAGGCAUAGCUUUCCAAAAGAAUCAUUUUCAAGAGCAUCAAACCCACUUUAGUUGGUGCAUGCAGAUAUAUGUGGUCCCAUCAAUCCAGCUUCUUUUGGCAAGAACAUAUACUUCUUGUUGUUCAUUGAUGAUUGUAGUUGCAAAACAUGGGUGUAUUUUUUGAAGGAGAAAUCAGAAGCCUUUGAAUCAUUCAAGAAAUUCAAAGCACUGGU
rnacentral:misc_RNA from 1 species